rnacentral:misc_RNA from 2 species
CAACCCUCAAGCACUGCUUGGUAUUGGGCUCCGCUGCUAACCCAGCGGGCCUUAAAAUAAGUGGCGGCGCCCUCAGGCUCUGAGCGUAGUAAAUCUCCUCGCUAUAGAGUCCUGGUGGUGGUAGUCAUCAACCCCCAACUUUCUAA